GACGAACGCUGGAGGCGUGCUUAACACAUGCACGUCGAACGAAGUGGCGAACGGGUGCGUACUACGUGGGUAACCUGCCCUCCUUUUUGGGAUAAGCCUUGGAAACGGGGUCUAAUACCGCCUAACGGGGGUUGGGCUCGGGGCCUAUCAGCUUGUUGGUGGGGGGAGGGCCUACCAGGGCGGUGCCGGGUAGCCGGCCUGGGAGGGGGACCGGCCACAUGGGGACUGAGAUACGGCCCAGACUCCUACGGGAGGCAGCAGUGGGGGAUAUUGCACAAUGGGCGAAAGCCUGAUGCAGCGACGCCGCGUGGGGGAUGAAGGCUUUCGGGUUGUAAACCUCUGUCGCGAGCGAACGGGUAGGUGGAGAAGAAGCGCCGGCUAACUACGUGCCAGCAGCUGCGGUAAUAC
rnacentral:rRNA from 1 species